rnacentral:misc_RNA from 1 species
AAAUUGAAUUAUUGUCAUCCUGUACAUAAAUUGAUCUGCUAUAUGUUCUUUAAUGAUUUUUUAAGCUUAUUUCUCAUCAAAGUUUAAGUUACAUGCAGAUUUAUCAUACUAGCAGAUUUUUGCAGCAAACUUAAAUUCCAAAAAAUACAGCUCAUAUUGCUUAAAAGAUUUGUCCAAAGAAGGCAACUCUUUGUAUCAUUUAAACAACAAUGUUAAUUUCUUCUUAAUCUUAAUUAUGAACUCUUUUCAAACCUCUGCACCAGUUUUAUCAAAUUCAUGUAUCCUUGGUGUUUAUUAACAUCAACUGUAAUGAUGAUUUGUCUAGUUGCCAUAUGUUUUACCUUCUCUGUGUUUUAUGUCAAAGACUUAUUAAAAUUAGUAUCUUUUUUCUCACCUAAUCAGUACGUACUAAUGUGUGACCUGUUAUGCAUGUUUAAUUGUAAAACCCUUGUGCAUAUCUUCCAUAUAAAUAAUAUAUUCUUAAAAUAUUUCGCUUAUUACCCCAUUCUUUUUUAAACAUGUUUUUACUCUCACUAAUUAAAAGCAUUUCUUUGCCAC